UGUUCGCCUGGGAACUACGAGCGUUAGCUUGAAACCCAAAGGACUUGGCAGUGCUUUAUACCCAUCUAGAGGAGCCUGUUCUAGAACCGAUAAUCCCCGUUAAACCUUACCUCCUCUAGCUCAUUCAGUCUAUAUACCGCCGUCGUCAGCUCACCCAGUGAUGGUCCAAAAGUGGGCAAAAUCAACCAAUGCUCAAAACGACAGGUCGAGGUGUAGCAUACGAGGAGGAAUGAGAUGGGCUACAUUCUCUAUUUCAGAGUAUACGGAUGAUGGUUUGAAACAACUGUUGGAAGGAGGAUUUAGUAGUAAGAAGUAAAUAGAGUGUACUUCUGAAAGCGGCCAUGAAGCAAGUACACACCGCCCGUCACCCUCCUGCAGUCAA
rnacentral:rRNA from 1 species